CAGUAGCCACGGGAACACGGAGGGAGCUAGCGUUGUUCGGAAUUACUGGGCGUAAAGCGCACGUAGGCGGUUAUUCAAGUCAGAGGUGAAAGCCCGGGGCUCAACCCCGGAACUGCCUUUGAAACUAGAUGACUGGAAUCUUGGAGAGGUCAGUGGAAUUCCGAGUGUAGAGGUGAAAUUCGUAGAUAUUCGGAAGAACACCAGUGGCGAAGGCGACUGACUGGACAAGUAUUGACGCUGAGGUGCGAAAGCGUGGGGAGCAAACAGGAUUAGAUACCCGUGUAGUCCCUGUCUCUUAUAC
rnacentral:rRNA from 1 species